rnacentral:rRNA from 1 species
UACGGGGGGGGCAAGCGUUGUUCGGAAUUACUGGGCGUAAAGGGCUCGUAGGUGGCCAACUAAGUCAUACGUGAAAUCCCUCAGCUUAACUGGGGAACUGCGUCUGAUACUGGAUGGCUUGAGUUUGGGAGAGGGAUGCGGAAUUCCAGGUGUAGCGGUGAAAUGCGUAGAUAUCAGGAGGAACACCGGUGGCGAAGGCGGCUCUCUGGACGGUGACUGACGCUGAGACGCGAAAGCGUGGGGAGCAAACAGG